rnacentral:lncRNA from 1 species
ACGCAGUCUGGCGCCCGAGAGGAAGAGCUUGGGGCUGCUACCGGUCGGAAGUUGGCAGAACGUCGCUAUUAUGGCACCCGGGGUCGUCGGAUGCGUCGGAGCCAGGAUGCGCCCGGGAAGGACGCCAGAAGCACAGUCGACCGCAGCCCGGUUGCACGCAGCCGCCGGCGGUGGUGCCGGGCUCUGAAGAAGCAGCGAGCGAAGCAGCGCCGAAUCACCCAGCUUGUCAGUGGACUAUGACCGGCCGUCGUCUUCGGAAGGCCCACCAGUAGACACGCCGAGGACACAGCCAGAGUGCUCUCGCCAGGCGCCUUGCGGAAGACGUCAGGACAGAUCCUCAGCACAGAAGUGUCUGUUCCUCAGCAGUGGCCUCAGCGACCUCCAGUACGGAUACGUGAAGAUUCACCUCCAAAAAGCAAAUCCGGUUCAAAAAGUUGCUCUGUGACGGCUGUGUAAGUGACAAGUGCUUCUGGGGUCGCCCCGGAGAUGACCGGAGCGCUGUGCACAGGCUACCGGUCUGCUGCCUGGUCUUCAGAAUGGAUUUCUAAGUCACUCAGCUUCGUGACCAAGAACUGUAGGGCAAAGGAUCCGCCGAGCCAGACGUCCCUAAAAUUACCAUCGUGACCACUUGAGCAGGAGGAAAAAAGGAUGACGUCGGAGCCACAAGCCUAGGCUCUGGAUUCCUGCUGCUCGGGAUUGUCGGGGUACAGCGCGUUGUCACGCCCUCGGCGCAUCAGACAGCUCCGUCGGACAGCGCGCGGAACACGUCGCGUUGACGACGCGCGUAGCGGCGGCUGAAGGCUGGAAGGACGGCGUGCGAGAGCCGUCGACGUGAAUGGCGGAUUCAGGUCCGCGGCAGAGACCGUGGAGGCCACAAGAUCUCUAGCACGAAACAUGCGAGAGAAACGAAGAGCCUUCUCCGGCGUCGAACAAGAUGAUCAGACAAGAAGCGCCAGCCGCUAUUACGACGAAUGGUCCAAGGACACGGAUGUCGAGACCUGCCUCAAAGCAUGCGAUGCUGACUGCUUCUCUGAUUGAUUCUCGUGGCCUGCUGUCGACGGUGCGGAGAAUAACGACCCUGAAACGAAGCCACCAGGUCGAGUCGACGAAAGGGAGAGGAGAAACCGGUGCCGCAGCACGAGAGACAGACGCCAUCCACCGCACCCUGUACUGCCCCCAUCUUGCAACCUGUAGUUUCGAAUGCAGCGCGACCUAGGAUUCAUAAAUAAAACGAAGGGCGAU